rnacentral:rRNA from 1 species
GAUGAACGCUGGCGGCGUGCCUAAUACAUGCAAGUCGAGCGAAGAGGGGACGGGUGAGUAACACGUGGAUAACCUCCUAUAAGACUGGGUUAACUUAGGGAAAACGGAACUAAACCGGAUUCUUAUAGCUGGAGCGGCGCUGCAUUAGCUAGUGUGUAAGGUAACGGAUUACCAAGGCAACGAAGCAUAGCCGACCUGAGAGGGUGAUCGGCCACACUGGAACGUAGACACGGUCCAGACUCCUACGGGAUGCAGCAGGUGGGAAUCUUCCACAAUGGGCGAAAGCCUGACGGAGCAACGCCGCGUGAGUGAUGAAGGUCUUCGGAUCGUAAAACUCUGUUAGUAGGGAAGCGGUACCUAAGCAGAAAGCCACGGCUAACUACGUGCCAGCAGCCGCGGUAAUAC